UUCCCUUUCACCUUUUUUUUUUCUGGAUACUGAUUUUCCUGCCAACUUGUGCGAUUUUUCGUAUUUUUUCCUUUUAUCCAAAUCAAUUGUUUCUUUUUUUAUAACUUUUUCCCAGAUGUCUAGAAAAUUCAGUAAAAAUUUCAGCUCAAAAUUCGAAGUAACCAAUUCUCAGUAAUUUUUACAAGUUUGUAUGCCCAAGCUGCCAGCACCAGCGAUUUGUUUCUUUAAGCAUGGUAUAUUGAUUGCCUUGGGCUUACUUUCAACCUUCCUAUGUAUGUUGAACUCACUAGGAUUGUUUACCACAGUUUUCGGAGUUCAAUAUUCACUUAGGAUCAACAUUUCAGCCAGCAAUUCAAUCA
rnacentral:lncRNA from 1 species